ACGACUCUCGGCAACGGAUAUCUUGGCUCUCGCAUCGAUGAAGAACGUAGCGAAAUGCGAUACUUGGUGUGAAUUGCAGAAUCCCGUGAACCAUCGAGUCUUUGAACGCAAGUUGCGCCCGAGGCUAUCCGGCCGAGGGCACGCCUGCCUGGGCAUCACGCCC
rnacentral:rRNA from 1 species